AUUCCCGAAGGACGUGGGUUCUAAUUCAACUUGAAAUAGAUGAUUAGGAGCCUCCCUAAUCCAUCUGAAUGUGGCACCUCCUUUUUGGAUAGGCGGCGGCGGAGGAAAUACCCCUGACGUGGAUUUCAGCGGAAAUAGGCAUCCCGCUGCCCAGGGCGCAGGUGAGCCCGAUGACCUUGGCCACAAACGUCUUAAAAGUCAAGUACUCCUUGAGGACCACCCCCCUCAGGAUGGUCUUCAUCUCUGGAAUGCCCGAGCCUGAGCCACCGCAACAUGCCAGGUGUUGCCAUGAUGGAAUGGAGGCAAAAGAGGAGUUGAAAGAAAGCAAUUACAGAGGAGCAGAAAAAAAGGUGCGCCUGCCUCACCCACGGCCUGCGGGGCCAGGAUCUGCGUGAAUCCUGCCGAGAACGUGAUGAGCACCACGGGGUAGCUGACCCAGGCGAUGUACUGCAGCAGCAGAUGAUUGUCCAGGCCGCUGUACAUCCACUUCUAAGGCGAUGGCGUAGUCCAUGACCCAACUGACCAGCGCCAUGAGCAGCCCCAGUAGGAUGAGGAAGAUCCAGUCCUCUCCCAGCCGCGAGAUCAGAAACUUCUGACAGCUGGAGGCGCAUGCUGGAAUGUGGACAG